ensembl:rRNA 5S_rRNA 5S ribosomal RNA
GUCUACGGCCAUGCCACCCUGAACAUGCCCAAUCUCAUCUGAUCUCAGAAGCUAAGCAGGGGCAGGGCUGGUUAGUUCUUGAAUGGGAGAUCACCUAGGGAUACCAGGUGCUGUAGGUG